CAACAGUGACAGAGUGUGGUGUUAGAACACAGAGCAAGUGGGACUGUUAAUGUGUGUGACACGGCAAAAGAGGAAGGGAGAACAUUUCUAAUGAAGUAUAAACACCUAAUUGGAGCUACAACGUAUUUUUAUCCAAAAAAGGAAUACUUUUAGAUUUAUGGGAGACCAGGAGAACAUUUGGAGCCCAUAGAUCAUGGAGAAUGUGAGCACGUCUGCCUUGUUCAACCUAUCGGACCUACCAGUGGAGAUGAACUUGUCGUCUCACCACUGGUCUUACUCGGAGUACAGCGAGGCCGAGGCAGUGCUGCUGGGCAUCAUCAUGGCCCUGCUGGUUUUGGGCAUCGUCUUUGGCAACGUGCUGGUCAUCACUGCCAUCGUGCGCUUCCAGCGGCUGCAGACGGUCACCAACAUGUUCAUCACGUCUCUGGCCUGUGCUGAUCUGGUCAUGGGCCUGCUGGUGGUGCCCUUCGGUGCCUGCUACAUCCUCCUCAAUACCUGGCACUUUGGCAGCUUCCUGUGCGAGUUCUGGACGGCGGCAGACGUCUUGUGUGUGACGGCCAGCAUCGAGACGCUGUGUGUGAUCGCGCUGGACCGUUAUCUGGCCAUCACAUCGCCGCUGCGAUACCCGUCCCUGCUGACCAAGCACAAGGCGUGCGUGGUGGUUGUGACGGUGUGGGGCGUGGCCGCCCUAAUCUCCUUCCUGCCAAUCCACAUGAAAUGGUGGGUGUCUGACGAGCCCGAGGCGCUCAGCUGCCUGGAGAACGCCCACUGCUGUGACUUCAACACCAACGCAGCCUACGCCGUUGCCUCCUCUGUCGUCUCCUUCUACAUCCCACUGGCGGUCAUGGCCUUCGUCUACGGACGCGUAUUCCAGGAGGCCAGGAAGCAGCUGCAGAAGAUACGUGGCAGCGAGGGACGGUUCCACGCCCAGAUUAUCAACAACAACAAGGGGCAGGAUGGUGGGGGAGGAGGAGGGGGGAACGGGAAGAGGCCAAAGUUCUGUCUGAAGGAACACAAAGCCCUGAAGACGUUGGGGAUCAUCAUGGGAACCUUUACUCUCUGCUGGCUGCCAUUCUUCGUGCUCAACGUGGCCGUGACCAUCUGGAAGGUGGACAACAUUAAAAUGCCAUUCAGGAUAUUGAACUGGAUAGGAUACGCCAACUCAGCAUUCAACCCCCUCAUAUACUGCAGGAGUCCUGAGUUCAGAGCAGACAUCAUCAUGCCCCGUGUAUACAAACAUAAAACAGGCUCUGGAGAGCAGCCAAGGAAAUGAGAGAAGGGAUGAAGUCCAUUUGAACAGCAGCAAGGGAUGAACAAACAGACUGAAUGACACUGAAGAGAUCGAAGGGAUCCCCAGAGAUAGCCAUCCAUGAGACCGGGUCUGGUAUCUUGUAAGUUAACAAUGAAGAUAGGUAUGGCGGACGUUUGUGCAAGAGGGCUUUAUAAACAAAAAGAGUGCAAGACUUCUACUUUCUGAUGCAGAAUACAGUGAUGUGCGCUGAACCUAAUGCCCGUAAUACACCGUAGUGUGUCCAAUAGCUUCAAUACAGUGACAGCUGCAUUUAUAUGGACAAUAUCUGCAUCGUCUAUAACCGGUAUGAAUGUUGACUGAAUGAUUUGUUUUCUCCUGUCUAAUGAAAGGCAUAAUUCUAUUCCUGUAGAAUUCAUGACCUAUUCCAUUUUAAUUCUUCAUUUCUUAACUAAUUUGUCAACAUGGUUUUUGGAAGGUAGCUUUUUUCGUCCAUCCAGAUGCCCAGAUAUUUACAAGCGGGGACAUGGUCAAUGAGGGCAUCAACCAAUGUACAUAUCCAGUAUAUUCAUUAAUCAUCAUAUCCAUUAUUACGUGAUUUGGAGAAUUACAUAUACUUGGUUUUGCCUGCAUUAAGUAUGUAAGUACGUACUUAGGUAAGAGUUUGCUCAGACAAUGGUGCUUUGGAGGUUUGAUUUCAUAGGAAAACACGAGGUACUGUAUGUGUCACUCGCUCACCCUCGUUGUUAUGGACACAAGGACACUUUUGAUGUACGUACUGUAAAUGUGAAUAACGUAUUAUCCUUGCAUUGCAAAAUGUUACCAUGCAUAUAUUGUGUAUAACUUGAGAUACGUAGCUACAAAAGUACGAGACAUGGUCUUAGAUAUUUACAUACCAAAAUUAUUUAAUUCUACUGAAAACUUGUCAUUUGCCAAAUGAAAUUACUGUACAUUCUCAGAGUUAACAAAGGCAGAAUAUUUUACAGCUGGAAAUUUUUUAUUAGAAAUAAUAUUUGCUAGAAAUAUUAGCAGUCAAUUUUAUUUAGUUGAAUAUUUAUUUUCAUGUCUGACGUGCUAGGUCUGAGAUUAAACCCAUUUGUGUCUGUUCUGUUCUAAGACCUGGUUCUGUGUAGUGAGAGAGCACACUGCCCCCCUCUGGUAAGGCUGUUAACUGGAGCAGGCAGGAGGAUCCGUCAACACUGUUUAUAACCAUAUUUUCCAGUCCAACGCUUAUUCUCACCCCUGCUGCUCCCCAGCCCUUUUAUAAAGACGUCCUGUUGCUAAGGCCAGUGUCUUACAUUACAGGACAGGACAUUGCGCCUGGAUUCCAUGAACAACAUGACAUUUCAUAUGCCCACAGCUGUUGUGCACUGGGAAGCACUGAGGCAGGCAUGAGAAGGACUGACUGGUGGAGUUCGUCUACAGGGGUUCACACAUCUCUUCUGACAAGGAGACGAGAAAGAUGCAAUGGAAACAGCUGUGUCCAUGUUGGACAAUAACACUCACUGCCUCUGACCACUGAUCAAAGAAACUGAGUUUACAUUUCUCAAUCUCUGCUGGCCUGAUAUGAGUCCCAAUCUAAUGCUCCAGGGAAUGUGGCAUUGCAGGUUCCACACUGUAGCUGUUGCCAUGAUGGUAAAACGAUGUACAGUUUCAAUUGCAUCCCUUUUAGUCAUGUGAAUCAAUUCUGCAAGUGUAAUGUAUUUCAAACAUUCUGUAUUUGCUAUUACCUUAUAGAGCAGGGGUAUUCAACCGGGGGUCCACGGCCCCCUAGAGGCCCACAGAGGUGCUGCUGGGGGUCUGCAAAAUAUAUAUACAAUUAUAUAUAUAUAUUUGUAAAAAUAUUUUAAUGAAUGUCGUUAGCAACAACAGAAUAAAUAAAAUUAGAAUGUCAUACCUACAGUAGAAAUAGGAGAAUAUCUUGUUUCUUAUGAUGGUAAUUGUAUUUCUUAACUCCUAAUAUUGAGCGAAUUACAUUCAUUAGAGCCAACUACACUCAAGCACCUGCAAAUCAAAUAAAUCAAAAACGUAUUUGUCAUAUGCUUCGUAAACGACAGGUGUAGACUAACAAUGAAAUGCUUCCGUACUGACACCUUCCGUACUGACACCUUCCGUACUGACACCUUCCCAGCAUUGCAGAUAUAAAAAAACAGGAAAUAAUAACACGAUGAAUAAAUAGACAACCAGUGUUGCUGGCUGCUGCUAAGUUUUCUUGACUUGGAUAAAUGUUUUGCCAUCACAUGGCUAACCCUUGUUUAACCAGCUAAACAGCUGCUCCUAGCAAAAAAAAUGUGUUUGGAGUUACCUUUCUAACUAAUAGGCUAGAGUUUACACUUCCUCUUCUAAUUGUAAUGUGGGAAGGUCAAAAUAAUGAAACUAUCUACCAAAUGUAUUAAUUUAAAAAUGUUGAUUACUUCUUACUUCACCUGAUGAUAAGACAUGUGAUAUAUUUUGUUGCUAAUGUACAGUACCAUUCAAAAGUUUGGACACAGUUUUUCUUUAGUUUUACUGUUUUCUACAUGGUAGAAUAAUAGUGAAGACAUCAAAACUGUGAAAUAACACAUGGAAUCGUGUAGUAACCAAAAAAGUUUAAAAAAAAUGAAAAUAUAUUUUAUAAUGCUUUGAAAUGCUUCAAAGUAACCACUCUUUGCCUUGUUAACAGCUUUGCACACUCUUGGCAUUCUCUCAACCAGCUUCAUGAGGUAGUCACCUGGAAUGCAUUUCAAUUAACAGGUGUGCCUUCUUCAAAGUUAAUUUGUGGAAUUUAUUUCCUUCUUAAUACG